AUGAGGGGGUUGGGGCGUUGGUCCUCCGCGACAACAUCCAGCCUUCUCCCCGUCGCAGUCGCGUGGUCCUCGACGACGACUCCCUUGCGCUCCUCCUCCUCCGCAUCGACAGGACUCUCUCUAGCCUCUCGCUCCACCUCCUCGCACACUCCUGCAGAUUAUCUUGGCAAUCAAGCCAACAAAUCAAAAGGAGACAAAGGAAAAUGUGUGACCAAAGGAGUCAAGCAAAAGCACACCAAGCAAAUCACCACCAUUGAAGUUUCAACAUCUAUUUUUCGUAGUUGGACUAAACCCGAUUAG
rnacentral:rRNA from 1 species